rnacentral:rRNA from 1 species
AGAGGGCGUGAAACUGCAUAGAAGGAAACGUGAGGUGCUCUAUUUUCUUCCAUUGUUCAGCCGUUUUUACGGUGCAUUCAUUGGGAGAGGCAUUGGAACUGAUGAGAGCAGUUGGUGUGGCUUUUUGUUGGUCGCUGCCUAAUCGUAGUGGUCGCCAGAUGCCUCGCCCUCUAUUCUUAUUGGUUUGUAGGCUUUAUUUUCAUUUAUGACAGAGGCCUUUCCAGUGUAAAAUAGGGUUUACUUCUCGACCCGUCUUGAAACACGGACCAAGGAGUCUAACAUGUGCGCGAGUCAAUGAAUUUGAAAUUCAGUGGCACAAUGAAAGUAAAUGUAUUCAUUAUUUGGAGUUAUAUUCAAUGCAGUGAAGUCCCAUCCGUGAUGCUUGUCAUCGGGGUGGAGAAAGAGCGUAUUUGUUGGGACCCGAAAGAUGGUGAACUAUGCCUGAACAGG